GAAAUUAAGUUGUUGCCUAUUUACUAUGAAAUUAGUACUGCAACAAUCCUUGAUGGAACAACAUACAAGUUACAAUCAAUUGUUGCAGAAAUGGAUGGAAAAUGGAUUCUUUUUUGUAUUGAUGGCAGCAAUUUAAUAGAAAUCAUUAAUGAUAGUAGGAAAAUCAGUAAAGCUGUAUGCAUUACUGAUUUUAAAAUAUACAAAAAUAUAUUAUUGUUUUAUGACAAAACUGUGCAAAAACAGAUGUCUAUUGAGAAGUUGCAAUUCUGUAAAAAAGAAUUAAAAGUUAAGAAAUCUGAGCUAUUUGUUGAUUGCAGUCCUAUAAAAAAGAAUCAACUGGAAAGCACUGUUGCUGUUGAAAUUGGAGGAAUAACCAUAACUGAAGACUUUUUAAACCUUAUUCUUGAUACAGAUAGGUGUCUAAACAGCAACCACAUUAAUGUAUACAUGAUUGCACUGCAAAAGCAACUGAAACAUCAAGACAUUCACAUGGUAGACUGUGGUUGGUUUAGUCAAAAGUUGUUGGUUCAUUGUAAUACCCAUCAACCAAGAUGGACAAUUCAUAUACCAGAAAGUAAAAAUAAGAGAUGGUGGGAUUAUAGAUAUGUAGUUAUUCCGUUAAAUGAAAAUAACAACCAUUGGACUGUAGUAGUGAUGGACACAUUACAUAAUAUAUUAUAUUAUUGUGACUCAUUUGGGCGAAGAAAUGACUUGGUUAUUUUUCAGAUAACCAGAUACUUGAUGUUUGAACACGCAAUGUGCUUUGGAAAGCCCUUAAAUGUUAAAGCUUGGUCUUUGGUUAUUUACUCAGAAAUGCCCGGUUUCAAUCGACAGACAGAUUCAAGUAGUUGUGGGGUGUAUGUUUGCGCAAUGGCAAAAGCGAUUUUAACAAACAAAUGUGUUCCUAAAUGCCCUAACCUGCAUUUCUACAUAAGGCAGAUAGUUCGAGAAAUACUGCAAUACAAGUGAGAUGAAUAUUUAUGAAGUUAUGUCGGGCAUGAAUAAUUAUCAAUUUAGUUUUUUUUUUCUUUAUUACUAGUAUUAAUUUUGUUUAGUAUUACUUUAAUUCAAUGUUUAAUUAUAAUUUAUAUUGAUGUUUAUCAUGUUGCAGAAGUGGGUUGGUGUUUCAUUUCAUUGACACAAAUCAUUCAGAACAAUCUUACUUAGUAAUGCAUGAGUCGUACUUACUUACAUUAUAAAUUCAAAGGGUUUUUGUUUGUUUGUUUUUUUCAUAUUUGGAGAUGGCUAAAGAUGGGUGAGUCUAGCUGGGUUACAGCGACCCCAAGAUGAUCAACCUCUUGAUAAAUAACGUGUAAAAUGUGUGUUCAGUUGCUUUUCUUAUUAUUACUAUGACUUUUCUUUGUAUUAAUUUAUUUUAAUUUUUUAGAAUAUUUACAGGUGCUGUAUGUGAUGUUGCAGAAGUGACUUGGUGUUUUGUGUUAUACACAACCCAUUCUGAACAUUGAUGUGUAUCAUGUUGCAGAAGUGGGUUGGUGUUUCAUUUGUUCAUUCUGAACAUUGCCACUUAGUAAUGUAUGAGUCGUACUUACCAUAGCAUUAUAAAUGCAAAGGAUUUUUUAAAAAUAUUUGGAGAUGGCUAAAGAUGGUUUAAGAGUCUAGUUGGGUUACAGCCACCCCAAGAUGAUCAACCUCUUGAUAAAUGCAAGAAGGGAAUAUUGUUCUUUUUUUAAAAAGUUUACAAUGAUAAAGAAGAUGAUGGAUGGUGUUUUCUUUUUGAAGACAAGCGACAUAAAGUUCAAGUAGUUAAACAUAUAUACAUAUUUUGUUCUCAUACCCUGACUGAUGACCAGCUAUGGUUUCAUACAUGUACAAAUUUUUAAAGUACAUGAAAGGCCUAUUGAGAACAAAAGUACAUUUUGAAAUGCUAACAAUGAGGCCGAAACCUUUGUAGUGACAUUGUUUUCUUCUGUCUUUCUUGAUUUCUGAACAAUGCACAGUGCAUCCACUACUUAUUUAUUAUAAAGAAAACCACCACUUCAUAAGUAUUGUAGUGACAAUACCAUUUAUGAAAUGUCCCUAUACAUAAAGCUCAAUAUGUACAGUAAACAAGUCACCACAAAGGUAUCAGGGUUGAUGCAUUUUAGUAAUAGUUGUAAAGUUUUUUUAAGAUGCAAUAAAUGUAUGAUGCAAAGUAUGGUUUGAAUAAAAAGCAGGUAAGUUUAAAUGUGUUCUACUCUAUAUUUAGAUGAUGUAGUUGGGGCAUGUUGGAAGAGUUAAAGAAAUUUAAUUGUGAAGUUACAUAAAUGGAUUAUUGUACAUCUUCAAAACUGUGCAACUGAAUACAUACUGGACAUUGGCUACAAUUAUAAAGUGAACUUGGUACCAUAUGUUGCACAUAAUAUAUAUGUGUAUUGCUAUUCGAAACGAGUGAGAAUUAUAGCUGAGCAAUAAACACCUGCGAAUUGAAAGGAGUCAUAACCAUGGAAUAAUCACAUUCUUCAUUAUUUCAUCACAUUCUUCAUUAUUUGGGUUAAAAUGUUUACUCCUGUACAAGGAUACAUAUAUAAUUGAUGUGUUUAAUUAAAUUAUUGAAAUAUUAAAAACUUAUAACACCUA